CAGCCCCAAAUCUAAAGGAACGGUUUCAGAUUAAAGUGGAUGCCAGUAAUAUGGGUGCUGGGGCUGUGCUGCUGCAAACACAUCUGGUGCAUCUUGCAUUGAAAGAACCCAAACCAGCGUUUGAUGAGAUGGUGUUUGUUCUUACAGCCUUUCCAUCUUGAUGUUCGGCACAUUAAAGGUACCAAGUAGCUGAGUGGGAGUCGGUAAGCGGGAAUUAUGUGAAUGAGGUAAUUGUCCAGAGAAGCCAUUUUCAUGUGAUUGCCUAUACUUAAGGUAAAUUGUAAACUCUAACUUUAAGAUUUGAAUGUAAUUAGUGCUCCAUAAGAAUCUCUUUUUUUUUUUUUACGGCGGUGGCUGUGGUUGUCUGUGUUGUGCUGGUUUUGUGUUUGUGUGUUCCAGGCUGUCUAUAGGCGGAGCCAAAGCCUGAGUCGUCAGGAGAUGUGGCUCACCUGUUCAUCCUGGCUUAGACGUAUUUAAGACAGCAGCCAACUCUGCUCUGGUCUUUUGUUUCCUGUCAUGCACCACCCCAUGGACACGCCAACUCCUCAUUUGUGACUUAUUAUGUAGCUUUUCCUUUAGUGCUCACUGCAUACACUCCUGACACUCCUGACACUCCUGAUUUCUGACGUUUGCCUU